GAUGAAGAACGCAGCGAAAUGCGAUACGUAGUGUGAAUUGCAGAAUUCAGUGAAUCAUCGAAUCUUUGAACGCACAUUGCACCUCUCGGUAUUCCGGGAGGUAUGCCUGUUCGAGCGUCAUUUGUACCCUCAAGCUCUGCUGGGUGUUGGGUGUUUGUUCCGCCUCUGUGUGUGAACUCGCCUCAAAACAAUUGGCAGCCGGCGUACUUGUUUCGGAGCGCAGCACAUUUUGCGAUCCAGAUCAACGUACAGCGGCAUCCAAGAAGCCUUAUUUAACGCUCUUGACCUCGGAUCAGGUAGGGAUACCCGCUGAACUUAAGCAUAUCAAUAAGCGGAGGA
rnacentral:misc_RNA from 1 species